CAGAUGUGGUGUCAUGGUGCUCUCUGUCAACAUGUUAAUGGCUUUCUGCUGUUUCACGGUCUUCUCUCCGCUCUCUGCAUAUGGAGAUGUCAGUCCAUCCGGGUAAUCCAGCACUUUAUUUUUCUGAGCACGAAUCUUACAGGAGAUGAAGCACAAGGUGGCAUUUGGGGCCUUGUCCUUUAGAGCAGAAUACAUGCCCAUCACUUGCUCUGCGUCAAUGUUAUGUAAACGAGCACUUUCUGUCUACUUCCUCAGCUGAUCAUUUACAUCCAUGUUAAAGUACCUCUGGUACUGCCUUGUGAGGACAUUGUGGACUGCAUUUCCUUCCAUCACUGACAGAAAGAGAUCUCUGUCAACAGGUUCCACCAGAAGGGCCUCAAGAUUUGGACUUCUGGACAGCUCAGCACCAAACAUCACGUGUCACAGAGAGAAUUUGUUAAGGUUCUUGUUGAAAUACUUCUAACCUGUCUAGAACCUCCUUUACCAUGACCAAACCUUCAAUGUGACCGAUUUCAGAGGCUGCGCCCUUGUAAAAUCUCGACGUCCAAGGCCCAGUCAGCACUUUCCCCAAAAGACCAGGCACCUGAAUUUCCUCCAUUGCAACAGGGACUUUGAAAGUCAUGUUGAAGGGCACCUCCGAGCCUGCUGCAUGAAAAUGUUUGUCCAUUAAGAAACUGCACAAAGAAUUUCUUAAUGUGUGUUCAUGAAGCCGUUCACAGAUCAGGAACAUAACAUGGAGCCUGUUUCCUCUGUAUCUUGGCAGCAAACCUGUGGGACAUCUCCGAUAACAACACCAGUGCGCUUUGCAAACUGAGAAAUUAAAGUGGGAAUGUUUUUUUGUAGGAAGAUUAUUUACUAUUGCUUCAUAAACAAGCAUCCUCA